GGGGAGAUGGCUCGGUGGUUAAGAGCACUGACUGUUCUUUCAGAGAUCCUGAGUUCAAGUCCCAGCAACCACA
rnacentral:tRNA from 1 species